GAUGAACGCUGGCGGCGUGCCUAAUACAUGCAAGUCGAGCGAACAGAUAAGGAGCUUGCUCCUUUGACGUUAGCGGCGGACGGGUGAGUAACACGUGGAUAACCUACCUAUAAGACUGGGAUAACUUCGGGAAACCGGAGCUAAUACCGGAUAACAUAUUGAACCGCAUGGUUCAAUAGUGAAAGGCGGCUUUGCUGUCACUUAUAGAUGGAUCCGCGCCGUAUUAGCUAGUUGGUAAGGUAACGGCUUACCAAGGCAACGAUACGUAGCCGACCUGAGAGGGUGAUCGGCCACACUGGAACUGAGACACGGUCCAGACUCCUACGGGAGGCAGCAGUAGGGAAUCUUCCGCAAUGAGCGAAAGCCUGACGGAGCAACGCCGCGUGAGUGAUGAAGGUCUUCGGAUCGUAAAACUCUGUUAUCAGGGAAGAACAAAUGUGUAAGUAACUGUGCACAUCUUGACGGUACCUGAUCAGAAAGCCACGGCUAACUACGUG
rnacentral:rRNA from 1 species